rnacentral:rRNA from 1 species
UACGGAGGGGGCAAGAGUUAUCCGGAAUCAAUGGGUUUAAAGGGUGCGUAGGCGGCUUGGUAAGUCAGAGGUGAAAGACCGCAGCUUAACUGCGGAACUGCCUUUGAUACUGCCGAGCUUGAAAGAGGUUGAGGUCAGCGGAACGUGACAUGUAGCGGUGAAAUGCAUAGAGAUGUCACAGAACACCAAUUGCGAAGGCAGCUGGCUGGGCCUACUUUGACGAUGAGGCACGAAAGAGUGGGGAGCGAACAGG